UGCCUCCAUGGUGGAUUAUGUCCUUGAAUUGUGAACUGGCAGCAAAAGUAAACCUUUGCCUCUUUAACUCUCUUUUGUCCAUGUAUUUUACCACAGCAAGAAGGCAUGUGACUAAAUGCAUAAGGCUAGUUCAAGACCCAGACUGAAGGGAGCAGGCUCCCCUUCUAAACAGAGCUGUGUGAGGAAGAAAGCCCUCAGCAGAGUUAUAUGCACACAGAUGAUCAGUCACGAAGCAGCCCUUUUCCUUAAAUGUGUUGUUUGAUUAAUCUGGAAUAUGGGCCAGAGAAAUAAACCGUUACUUUCAGGCUAAGACUAUAAAGGAGGAGGUUCCCACAUAGAUGAUAAUGCAAAGGUUGGGAGUUUAUGUCUGCCUGAGAUCAAAAGAUGGAUGUAUGGGAAUGAUUCAUGCAUCAGUGUGGAACAAGAGGCACCAAGAUCACUUCAGAUGAGACUCAGCAGAUCAUUGUGCUGAAGCAAACAGACCAAGAACUGCAAAUGUCACCCUGGGCAUGGCGGUGAUUCCAUGACUUCUCUUUGCUUGAUUAGAAAUCUUAAGGGGAACCUGGAACGUUAUGGUAAAGGACAAGUCACCCUUGUCGAAGAGACAAACAGAACAAAAACCUAUGAAAAGUGAAUUCUCCAGGGAGGCACUGUCAUCUUGUUGGAAAUGCAUCUGGCGUCUGCUUGGUCUGGACAUUAAUAUAUACAGUCCCUGAGAGGUUUCAUUUACUUGGGUAAAGGGAAUAAAAUGGUAAAUUGAA